rnacentral:rRNA from 1 species
AGCAUAUCAAUAAGCGGAGGAAAAGAAACCAACAGGGAUUGCCUCAGUAACGGCGAGUGAAGCGGCAACAGCUCAAAUUUGAAAUCUGGCGGCCUCUGGGCCGUCCGAGUUGUAAUUUGAAGAGGAUGCUUUUGGCGAGGCGCCUUCCGAGUGCCCUGGAACGGGACGCCACAGAGGGUGAGAGCCCCGUAUGGUUGGACGCCGAGCCUCUGUAAAGCUCCUUCGACGAGUCGAGUAGUUUGGGAAUGCUGCUCAAAAUGGGAGGUAAACCCCUUCUAAAGCUAAAUACUGGCCAGAGACCGAUAGCGCACAAGUAGAGUGAUCGAAAGAUGAAAAGCACUUUGAAAAGAGAGUUAAACAGCACGUGAAAUUGUUGAAAGGGAAGCGCUUGCGACCAGACUUGUGCCCGUCGAAUCAGCCGCCGCUCGUCGGCGGCGCACUUCGGCGGGCUCAGGCCAGCAUCAGUUCGCUGCAGGGGGAGAAAGGCGAUGGGAAUGUGGCUCUUCGGAGUGUUAUAGCCCGCCGCGCAAUACCCCUCGGCGGACUGAGGACCGCGCAUCUGCAAGGAUGCUGGCGUAAUGGUCGUCAGCGACCCGUCUUGAAACACGGACCAAGGAGUCGUCCUAAUAUGCGAGUGUUCGGGUGUAAAACCCCUGCGCGUAAUGAAAGUGAACGGAGGUGAGAGCUUCGGCGCAUCAUCGACCGAUCCUGAUGUUCUCGGAUGGAUUUGAGUAAGAGCAUAUUGGGCCGGACCCGAAAGAAGGUGAACUAUGCCUGUAUAGGGUAAAGCCAGAGGAAACUCUGGUGGAGGCUCGCAGCGGUUCUGACGUGCAAAUCGAUCGUCAAAUAUGGGCAUGGGGGCGAAAGACUAAUCGAACCUUCUAGUAGCUGGUUUCCGCCGA